rnacentral:rRNA from 1 species
GACGAACGCUGGCGGCGUGCUUAACACAUGCGAGUCGAACGGAAAGGCCCCUUUUGGGGUACUCUAGUGGCGAACGGGUGAGUAACACGUGAGUAACCUGCCCUUGACGUCGGGAUAACUGCAGGAAACUGGGGCUAAUACCGGAUAGGAAUCCUUGCGGCAUGGUGGGGGUUGGAAAGCUUCGGCGGUUUUGGAUGGACUCGCGGCUUAUCAGCUUGUUGGUGGGGUAGUGGCUUACCAAGGCGUUGACGGGUAGCGGGACUGAGAGGGCGACCGGCCAUCUUGGGACCGAGGGACGGCACAGAUGGCGAAGAGUGGACGCAGUGGGGAAGACUGCACCAUGGGUGGCGGCUUGAUGAAGAAAGGCCGCGGGUGGGAUGACGCCUUUAGGGUUGUAAAACGCCAUCAGGAGGGGAGCAGCUUGUGGUGACGUUACCUGCAGAAGAAGCACCGGCUAACUACGUG